UGCUUCUGUGGUAUAGUGGUAGCACGCGCCCUCGGCAUGGGUGAAACGCGGGUUCAACUCCCCGCUGAGGUCG